rnacentral:rRNA from 1 species
AGUGAACGCUGGCGGUAGGCCUAACACAUGCAAGUCGAACGGCAGCACAGUAAGAGCUUGCUCUUACGGGUGGCGAGUGGCGGACGGGUGAGGAAUACAUCGGAAUCUACUUUUUCGUGGGGGAUAACGUAGGGAAACUUACGCUAAUACCGCAUACGACCUACGGGUGAAAGCAGGGGAUCUUCGCACCUUGCGCGAUUGAAUGAGCCGAUGUCGGAUUAGCUAGUUGGCGGGGUAAAGGCCCACCAAGGCGACGAUCCGUAGCUGGUCUGAGAGGAUGAUCAGCCACACUGGAACUGAGACACGGUCCAGACUCCUACGGGAGGCAGCAGUGGGGAAUAGUGGACAAUGGGCGCAAGCCUGAUCCAGCCAGACCGCGUGGGUGAAGAAGGCCUUCGGGUUGUAAAGCCCUUUUGUUGGGAAAGAAAAGCAGCAGGUUAAUACCCCGCUGUUCUGACGGUACCCAAAGAAUAAGCACCGGCUAACUUCGUG